GCUCAUUUCCUGCUUUCUGGCUGUCUUAUCUCUCUCUCCAAACAUUCCUCAGCUUUCUCUUUCCAGGAAAAUCCUUAUUUAAUAACAAUCAACAGAACAGGAUUAUGAACAGACGCCAUACAGAGGUAUUUGUAAGAAAGAAGGUGGAUGCCAGAAUCCUUUCUUCAAACAGAAGCUUACCAGUAAGUGCAGACUAAUACAACAGAGAGAUUGGAACUACAGCAGAGGUGUGAACAGGUGUCAGGCGGACACAGAAGAAAGAGCAGGUACUCUUCUGGAAGGUUGGAGAAGACUUUGUGAAUGUGGGGAUGUUUGAUUUGAACCUUGAAGAACAAGUAGAGACCCAAGAGGUACAGAAGAGGGGAGGUGGAAAUAGCAUUAACGAGGUGGGGCAUAGUGAGUAGUCUAGUAUGGAGUGGGAAGGAGGAAUAGCAAUGAGCAUUUAUUGAGCACUUACUAAUCACUGGAUUCUGUGCUAGGUGCUCUGCAUAUAUAUUAUCACAAUCCUCACAGCAAUCUGAGAAGGUAGGUACUGAUGUGGGAACUAACAUUUGGAGAGAACAGAUGGUUGAACCAGGAUUUGAAUCAGGUUUGUUUGACUCUAAACUCCAUGCUCUUUUUUUUUAAUCAUGCCAGUGGUUUUCCCAGUAUAUUCUACAAAAUUUUUAGGGUUCUGAGGAGGUGCUUUAGGGACAUGUAUAAUUUUAGUUUCAUAUUUAAAAUAUGUUAUAAUCAACAGACACUGAAAUGUGUUAUGUAACAAAAAAAAAAAGCUUUCCUUCCAUCUCUGUGUAUAUUUUUGAGUUUCUUGUAAAUGUGUCAUUGAUUAGAAGGACUGCACAGUCUGCUCAGGUCUGUCUAUGUAAAAGCACACACCCAUGCCCACCAGCCUUCAUUACAAGGUCGGUGGGACUUCCAAUCCAAGACGGUUGACUAAAUGCACAUGGGCUUAUCUUUACCUCUUCCAGAAAUGUCUUUGUAAUAAAUAAUAAACAUAUCAAUGCUUCCAAAGGAGAAUUUGAAUUGGGAGGGGGCACCUGUGGACAAGAGAAAUCCCAACAAAUUUCUGGAGAAGUGGUUCGAUGGGGAAUGAUGACUGAGUAAGUAGGACAGAGGAAGCUGCAGUGUGGAAUGCACAUGGCUGGGUUUGCAGCCAAAGAGGGAGCUGACCCACCCGCAGAGGCCCAGAGAAGCUCAGGACUUGGAUGUGCUAGGUGCAAUGGAGGGUGGGAAAGGGAUAUGUGGCUGAAAAGGGGGCGCUUAAUUGGAAGUCUACAAAUGGAACAGUUAACUUCCCUGACCCUUAUAUGCAAACUGUUCAGCCAGCAGAUAUUUGCUCUGUCCCCCAUUUUGCUCCUUCCCCUAAUUUCUUCUUUAAAGAAAUUAAACUGCCUGAGGAAGACUAGGAUAGCUGAGUUUUAAGGUGGCAUCUGAGAGCAAAGCACAUUGCAGGCUGACAUUUAGAAAUCUCAAGGCAUAAAGAUCAGUUUACGUGGAAACAAAGCCUGCCAUUCAUCUCCUCUUAUCCAUGUACACAGAGCUUCCAGGAAACUUUUCUACUGCUUCAUUCUUAAAUAUGAAUGGACAACCAUAAGCCAGGAGCUAUUUGAGGAAGCCUGAAAUAUGAAAUAGAGAGACUAAGAUAAACAAAGUGAAAAUAAGACCUCUGAGGAAACAAAGACAAUUCAUACGUAGAAUAGAACUUAAAAAAAGAAUUCAAGAAGACACUGAAUCUGUAAAACAUGAGUAGUGAUAUGAAAAAAGAAACAAUUAGAGAACACAAAAGCCCCAGACAUAGAAAAAUGUAAUUAAAAUUCAUUGGAAAUGUUGAAAGUUAAGGUCAAGGUAAUCUCUCAGAAAAUAAAGCAAAAGGGUAAAGAAACAGAAUUUUAUCAGAUAAUAUAUGAGACAUAAAAAAUCAAUAAGGAGGUCCAUGUUUGAUUUAUAAAGAUUUCAGAGAGAAGAGAGAAAUCAAGGGAGAGAAUUUUCAAAUAAAUGACUGAACAGAAUUUUUUAGACACAAAACACUCCAGUCUUCAGAAUAACAGGAUUCAAGCCCCCAGCAAAAAAAAAAAACCACACAAGAUUUAGAAAUUUCAGAAUACUUAGGAAAAUGAGAAGAUGUUAAAAGUUUCCAGAGAGAAAAAAAUCACCUAUAAAGGAAUGAAAAUCAGAAAGGCACCAGACUUCUCACUAGCAGCAUUGGAUGACAAAAGACAAUGAUGCAAUCUCUUCCAAGUUCUGAGAGAGACUGAUUUUCAACUUAGAAUUCAAUACCUAGCUAAACUGUCUACUGGUUAAGAGGGCAGAUCAAAGACACUUUAAGACACAUGAGGACUAAGGAAGUUUACUUCCUAUAGACUCCUUGUGGUAAUGUUCCUGGAAAAAAAAACAGCAAUAGAGGAUGUGCAGCAGUAAAACAAAGGAGAAACCAAGAAUGAGAAAAGCAUGGAAUUUUUGUCAGCUUAUAAGUUAGCUUGGUAUACAGUUUUAAUUAAUUUGUUUAUUUAGUGUGUGUUUUCUGU